UGAGAACUGAAUUGAAUAUGGAAAUAUGCAGGUAAAGAUUUAUAAAUUAGAGAUUUAUUUUUGUAAUUUAACUGUAAAAUAAAUAUAUAAAUAAAAUGUUUACAUUAAAAAGUCAUCAAAAGUAGUAACUGAAUUAACAAACCAGAAUUAAGUGUUAUUGAAUUAAAUAAUAAUAAUAAUAAUAAUAAAAACCUACUACACUAAUUUUUAGGUGACAAAGAGUGCCUGUACACAAUGCUUACUAAAGAAGAAACUAGAAAAAUAGCUCUUUUCUGUCGACCAGGCAUCUGUCCACUAAAUCCAGUUGGGAGGAUGGUGAUCGUAAGGGCUUUCUUGAUGAAGGUUGCAUGAAGAUCUUGAGAAAAAUGCAACAAUAUAAUUCUCACCACCUUGGAUUAGAAAGAAACAACCAGGUGGGGAAAAUACUACUACUACUACUAAUAAUAAUAAUAAUAAUAAUGUGCCAAAAAACAAUUUAAUAGAUGGAGGUUAUUACCAAUAAAGCAUUGUAACACUGGAGAGAGACUCAGGCAUAAAUAAUCAAAGGGCAAGGUGAUGAUGGGGAUGGUGAGAACGAGCUACUGGAGACAUUUCUUUUCGUCAUGGAGGUAUCUGCUGCAUAGAAAAGAUGGUAGAUUUAAUUUAGGUCUUUUGUUGUGUGCUUGUCAUUGAACUCUUGGGGGAAUUGCUGUGCACUCCAACUUCACUCUGAGCAAAGAGAAAUAAACUAUCUGAUUUAUUACUUGUGAGGCAUGGAGGAGGGGUGGAGAGUGGAGGAGGAGAGGCAAACAUGAUGAAAUUUAAUUAAUGCUCUUAUCACGUUUGUUUCACCUGCUGUGUUGGUGCUGGUGUGGCUAUGAGAUGUGAUAUUGCCUCCCAUGAAUCACAGGAACUGCUGGAAAAAAAGAGGGACACUCCAGAUUCUGACUGUCACCACGAGAACUGCAAAUAUGUGCUCCAAACAAAACGUGGCUCAGAAUUUCAAAACCCUAACAUUCUAGGAGGCAUAUCUGCAGCUGCAAGCCGCUGACAAACUCCAUCUUGUACAUCUGAGCCUGCAGAGAAGGGCGAGAGCGGUGAUAGAAUAUUGAUGCUCCUCUGGCAUGGGCCUCAUUCAAACCAAAUAGCUUUAUGUUAUUGUGACUGAUACAAUUUCACCGCGUGUACCUGCAUUAAAUUGACAUUCCCAACUUUACUUGGUGCUCUGUGCAUUUUUAAUGCCAAAAUAUGACAGCAUAAGAACAAAUGCUGGUCUAAACCUCCAGCUGGAAGGUUG
ensembl:lncRNA